GGCGCUAUGGCCGAGUGGUUAAGGCGACAGAUUCGAACCUUGCGGCCUCUCAGAGCUUCGUACCUUAUCUGUUCCGGUUUCCGGGCGCAGGUUCAAGUCCUGCUGGCGUCG